rnacentral:rRNA from 1 species
AUGAACGCUAGCUACAGGCUUAACACAUGCAAGUCGAGGGGCAGCAUGGUCUUAGCUUGCUAAGGCCGAUGGCGACCGGCGCACGGGUGAGUAACACGUAUCCAACCUGCCGUCUACUCUUGGACAGCCUUCUGAAAGGAAGAUUAAUACAAGAUGGCAUCAUGAGUCCGCAUGUUCACAUGAUUAAAGGUAUUCCGGUAGACGAUGGGGAUGCGUUCCAUUAGAUAGUAGGCGGGGUAACGGCCCACCUAGUCUUCGAUGGGUAGGGGUUCUGAGAGGAAGGUCCCCCACAUUGGAACUGAGACACGGUCCAAACUCCUACGGGAGGCAGCAGUGAGGAAUAUUGGUCAAUGGGCGAGAGCCUGAACCAGCCAAGUAGCGUGAAGGAUGACUGCCCUAUGGGUUGUAAACUUCUUUUAUAAAGGAAUAAAGUCGGGUAUGGAUACCCGUUUGCAUGUACUUUAUGAAUAAGGAUCGGCUAACUCCGUGCCAGCAGCCGCGGUAAUACGGAGGAUCCGAGCGUUAUCCGGAUUUAUUGGGUUUAAAGGGAGCGUAGAUGGAUGUUUAAGUCAGUUGUGAAAGUUUGCGGCUCAGCCGUAAAAUUGCAGUUGAUACUGGAUAUCUUGAGUGCAGUUGAGGCAGGCGGAAUUCGUGGUGUAGCGGUGAAAUGCUUAGAUAUCACGAAGAACUCCGAUUGCGAAGGCAGCCUGCUAAGCUGCAACUGACAUUGAGGCUCGAAAGUGUGGGUAUCAAACAGGAUUAGAUACCCUGGUAGUCCACACGGUAAACGAUGAAUACUCGCUGUUUGCGAUAUACAGCAAGCGGCCAAGCGAAAGCGUUAAGUAUUCCACCUGGGGAGUACGCCGGCAACGGUGAAACUCAAAGGAAUUGACGGGGGCCCGCACAAGCGGAGGAACAUGUGGUUUAAUUCGAUGAUACGCGAGGAACCUUACCCGGGCUUAAAUUGCAGAUGAAUUACGGUGAAAGCCGUAAGCCGCAAGGCAUCUGUGAAGGUGCUGCAUGGUUGUCGUCAGCUCGUGCCGUGAGGUGUCGGCUUAAGUGCCAUAACGAGCGCAACCCUUGUUGUCAGUUACUAACAGGUUCCGCUGAGGACUCUGACAAGACUGCCAUCGUAAGAUGUGAGGAAGGUGGGGAUGACGUCAAAUCAGCACGGCCCUUACGUCCGGGGCUACACACGUGUUACAAUGGGGGGUACAGAGGGCCGCUACCACGCGAGUGGAUGCCAAUCCCCAAAACCUCUCUCAGUUCGGACUGGAGUUUGCAACCCGACUCCACGAAGCUGGAUUCGCUAGUAAUCGCGCAUCAGCCACGGCGCGGUGAAUACGUUCCCGGGCCUUGUACACACCGCCCGUCAAGCCAUGGGAGCCGGGGGUACCUGAAGUGCGUAACCGCGAGGAGCGCCCUAGGGUAAAACUGGUGACUGGGGCU